AAGAUAUCUAAAAAUGUACAGUUUGAGGCACAUGAUAUUGGAAUAAACCUUUUAUGAUAGUUUUUAAGGGAUGUAAUAAGAAUGAAAGCAUGACUUGGAAAAUAGGCCUAAGAUAUUACUGUUUGUAUCCUAUGAUGAUUUAUAGGUUACUUUGGUGCGUUCAUUUUUUUUUUAAAGUCUUCAUAGGAGAUUUGAUGCCUACACAUGUUUUUUAUGUUUGGAUAAUAUUUUUUGUUUUGUGCUUUUUUGGGGGGGGGGUAUUCAAUCUCUGGGAUAUUGAAUUGGGUCGGUUAGCUGGUUAUCGAUCAGUUGGAAAAUUAUGAAUUGCAAAGAUUUUACAAUGCACAAAAUGAAACAGUUGUGGGUUUAGAUGAAAGAUAGAUUUGUAUACAAUUAUAGAGUUAAGUAUAAUAAUAGAAAGGUAGAUAUAUAUAUUAUAUAGAUAUAAUAUAUGCAAGGAUAACAUGCCUAUUAUAUAAAUGGCUGCAUAUACAAAUGUGCGUAUAUCGUAUAUCUGUAAACACACAUACUGUAUGUUCAUGCAGAACACGUGCAAGGGGCUUGAACUCUGAAAUUAACUGCUGAUGUCCAUCAUUUCGGGCUAUUUUAUUUUGAUUCCCAUGAAUACAUUGUUUCUUGUCUCCUAAAUUCUGCACGAUACACAUUUGACAUGCAGGGUCGCAAGAAUAGACAUUUCAUACCGGGCCUCAAACUUUAGUUUGGCAUACGACAAAACCCACCUGCAGCAUGUAAAAUUAAAUUGUGUAUUGUAUUAUCUGCCAGCUUUAGGUACAUGUAUAGAUCAAGGUUUUGCAUAGUUGGAAUUCUCCACUAUUGCACAAAAAUAUAUAGUCCUUCAUAAAGUAGCGAUUUUUUAUUUUUAUUUUUUUAACCUCUAACCUAUAAUUUUGUUACCCUGGCUAUUUUAAGUCAGUGUUGAUUUACCAGCCUAGAAUAUAAGUAAAUAUGAAAUGAUGGUUAUAUAGAAACAAAUAAGAGAAUAUAGAUGCAACAGGGUUUGUUACUUCCUUUUGAUUCAUACAUUGUGAUUUUCAGCACCAGCAUUAAACCCGGUGGAAACUGUGAUAAUCUGUGUUUUACGAUGGGGUGUUUUUUGUUAAUUAAAAUACAUGUUGCACUUAUGUAAAUGUUGUUAAGGGUUAAGUAUACUGUAGAUUGUCAUAUUUGAGUGGCUGAAUGCUUGUGGUGCAAAUCUUGGACACACACACACACUCACAUACCUCUCUCGGAGCCUCAAUGUCUUCAAGGGAGCAAGCUACACAGACCUCAUUAACAAGGCACCGGCCCAUGGUCAGCAGAAUAUGAGAACCCAGAAUCUCUUAGUAAAUCCUGGAGAGAUCACAUCUGUGCCUGUGACUCUUCUGUAUGCGUUUACACAUAGUUAUUUCAGCUCUGCCACUGUGGCAUAUUACACUAUUUCGUUGUGUCUAAAAGCUGGGAUUUAAAAGGUUUAUUUUCGCAGAGUAUAUCAUUUGCUCCAAAGUGUGCGAAACAGCAGAAACGCAACUUUGACUUUGCAUUAAGUGGUUGAAUACAUUGGCUGUAGAUUCACAAUUCAUUGUGAAGGGUCAGAGUGGGUCGCUUAUUUUCCCAGCAAGAUGGGCUGCUCCAGCCCUGCAUAAUGAAUAGCUUGGUUUGUAGCAGAGAGUCACUGACGUAUCUAUGUGUAAUGCAUAGCCAACACAGCCCAUCUUGCAGGAGAAUAUAAUUGAUGUAUUUGAGUUAAAGUGUUCAGCUCACCUGCAAACAUCUGGUUUAGUGAAUAAACAAAUGACUCAACACCAGUCAGAUGGUUUCUAAUGGCCACAUUUGGUUAUUCCAACCCUUGCCACCAUGAAUGCAAGAUUUAAGUAGCCUAUUCUUUCUGCUGUUCCAAGGGUGAACAGGAGAGGGCAGCAGAUAAACUUUUAAUAUUUAGGGGCACAACUCCAGUCCUUGAGGGCUGUAAACAGGACAGGGGUUCUAUGUAUUCUUGCCUCAAAACAUGUUUAAUGAAUGUAGUUUAGUGAAUCUUUAAUGUAGAUGCCUGUGUCCUGGUUGCAGCCCUCAUGGACUGAAUUUGUGGAUGCCUGCUUUGAUAAACAGAAUCCCCCAAAUAUGACCAUUAAUUGUAUAUCUAACAACAUCCAACACUUUUACAAUCAAAUGAAGCGUCGGGUCAUGCUAAAAAAACAUUUUGGCAUAAAUAAGUAUCAUUUCAUGACAUGAUUAUGUUAGAACCUCUGCUAUUAACAAACUAUUAAUGUAUUUUUUAAUAAAGUUACAUAACAUUUAAUUAUAUUUGAUAAUUGUUAAUGCUGAGAAUUCAAUUAAGAUAUGUGUAACUGUUUUAAUAAAUGUUUAUCAUUUCUAACUA